rnacentral:lncRNA from 1 species
AGAAUUGAAAGAUUGGAGCUUUCGCAUCCAAAAUUCGCCUCCAAGGUGUGAGAAUGGGUGUUUCUGCGUCUUUUCUCUGCCAAAAGAUAACCCUAAGGUUUGCAUAAAUCUAUUUAUAAUCUAUGAAAAAUUACAGAAAACAGGCCCAAGCCCAAUUACAAUGCUCAGCGCUGGUUUCACCGCUCAACGAUUGGUGCGGCACUCAAGUGGGAUGCUUAGCGUUCACACCCAGGCGUCUAGCAGUGCUGUUUCUGAAAAGGCCAGCGCUCAGUGCUAGAUCUGACGCUCAACGGUGGGUGUGACUCUAUCUUUUCCCCUCAGUGUUGGCGCUUAAGCGUCUGACAGUGGCUUUCUUCACAAAGCUGGCGCUCAGUCCUGAAACUAGCGUUGAGCGGUGGCUGCGAUUCUUCCUUUGCAGCUUUCUUCAUCCUUUCUUGAGUCCAACUCCUUCCUACGUCACUCUCCACCAUUCAAUUCUCAUAUAAUCC